rnacentral:miRNA from 1 species
ACUGGCUAGGCCCAAAGUUCAUUUGGAUUUUCAAUAGUAUCUUACAGGAAAACGCAAAUGAACUUUUUGGCCAAUCCAAU